GGCACACCCUCUCUGCUUCCUCCUGGGGUUUCAAAAACCUAUAUUCAUUGGUUGAGCCAAAGGGUACAGGCUAAGUUUUCCCUCUACAGUAAACUGCAUCCAACUGGGAGAGGCCAUGGACUGUCAUGAAAGCUACUGGUGGCACAAUGAAGGUGAAAGCUGAGGUGGGACCACGAAGCCUUCCCAGAUUCCAAAUGAGCUCCUCCUCUGUUCUAGCCCAACCUGUUUCCUCUUAGCUACAACCUCUCCAGCAUCUGACUGAGCUGCCUUUCUUUUUGUGAGUUAUAACGAGAAAUGAAAAUUUAUUUUGCAUGAGUGAGGAAGAACGGGACGCUACCUUCAGCAAAAGGCCAACAAGCCUCUUUCUGCCUUAGGGGCUGAGAAAAUUGGUGAGAUUAAUCUCCACAAUGCCUCAGCUCCAAGUUUCCCACAUGGCUGACCACUGAAAAUGCCUCAAGCCACAGAAGAAGGAAAGAGAAGACAAAGCCACCAGUUGUCUUGGUAACUGAAAGUUAUGGAAGGAAGAAGAAAGACAAAAUUUGAGAGCUCUGAAGACCUGAGAAGCAGCCUAGUAUGGCUGAAGAACAAUGAAGAAACCUAGGGCAAUGCUGGCACACAGAGGGUCAGUCUCUGGCCAAACAGUGGCUGAACACAACACAGCUGAUGGCAGAGCUGGCAAAAGAUUCACCACGUCACACAAGAGUGUGAUUCUACACAAGAUCCAUGAGAUUACUGGCCACAACUGUGUAUGACUCAGACUUUGUUCCAAGCUCCGAGACAUCAGGAGCCCCCUCCCCUAGUGAGAUCCAGAUUCUUUCCGGACCAGAAAUAAUAGUGACCUGAAAUCAACACAAUCUAGACAAAAGGCAUUUUUAUGAAGCAGUUGCAAAGAUCCCACACAUUUCUCCAGGAGAAAAGGGUUAAAAGUAGCUAGGGCUGGUUGUUGUCAAAUGGUCAAAGGGAAAGACUGGCAGUUUGGAGGGCUUUGCGUCACAAGGUAUUGCCUAGAGGAGGCACUACAGAAUGGUCCAGUUUAUUAUCGUAUUCUGCAGAAGGUCCAGGACUCGCAGUAGGGAAGGCCUAGGUUCGGAUUCUGCCUCUGAUGCUGGUAGUGUCACUGCGAGCAAGGUGCUUUCACUUUUCUGAAACUCAACCUCCUCAUCAUUAAAUGGUGCCAAUUAAUAUCUGAAGUGCCUACCUCAUAGGGUUGUUGGGAGCCUUAGAUGAGAUAAUGUCAGUAAGUGCUUUGCAAGCUUGAAAAUGCCAUAUAAAUAUCUGGUAGUAUUAUUAUUAUUACCCCUUUUAACUUCAGCCAUAUUAGUUUUGGCUCACUGUUCUAACCUGUACAGACACAUUUGGAUCUUGACUCAUCUAUCCUUUUGAACUAUCCAUCCCAACUUUGUCAUCUGCAGACUAAGUGGGCCACCUGUUUUCAUCCAAGGAAUUACCAAAAAUAUUGACUAGAACAGAGCCCACGCCAGUCCCUGAGGUGCACCACUAGAGACUCCUCUCCAAGUUAACAUCUAUUCACCACUGAGUACAUAAGUCAUUAACUGUGGUCAUCUACUACUUCUUAAUCCACCUGACUGUAUUUUAAUCAUACAAUCCAUCUUGAUCUCAAGGAUGUAUGGAGAGACUUUGUCAAAUGCUUAGCUGAAAUCUAGGUGUUCCCCAACCUGCCAGUAGAAAAAACCCUGUCAAAAAUGAUUGUUCAU
rnacentral:lncRNA from 1 species